UAGGUGGCAAGCGUUGUCCGGAAUUACUGGGUGUAAAGGGAGCGUAGGCGGGAAUGCAAGUCAAGUGUUAAAUCUAUCGGCUCAACUGAUAGCUGCGCUUGAAACUGUAUUUCUUGAGUGAAGUAGAGGCAGGCGGAAUUCCUAGUGUAGCGGUGAAAUGCGUAGAUAUUAGGAGGAACACCAGUGGCGAAGGCGGCCUGCUGGGCUUUUACUGACGCUGAGGCUCGAAAGCGUGGGUAGCAAA
rnacentral:rRNA from 1 species